rnacentral:rRNA from 1 species
UGAACGCUGGCGGCNGGCCUAACACAUGCAAGUCGAGCGGAAACGACACUAUNGANUCUUCGGGNGNUUUGNUGGGCGUCGAGCGGCGGACGGGUGAGUAAUGCCUAGGAAAUUGCCUUGAUGUGGGGGAUAACCAUUGGAAACGAUGGCUAAUACCGCAUAAUGCCUACGGGCCAAAGAGGGGGACCUUCGGGCCUCUCGCGUCAAGAUAUGCCUAGGUGGGAUUAGCUAGUUGGUGAGGUAAUGGCUCACCAAGGCGACGAUCCCUAGCUGGUCUGAGAGGAUGAUCAGCCACACUGGAACUGAGACACGGUCCAGACUCCUACGGGAGGCAGCAGUUGGGGAAUAUUGCACAAUGGGCGAAAGCCUGAUGCACCCAUGCCGCGUGUAUNAAAAAAGCCUUCNGGUUGUAAAAGUACUUUUAAUUNUUGAGGAAAGGGGUGUACAUUAAUA